UACGGAGGGGGCAAGCGUUAUUCGGAAUUAUUGGGCGUAAAGGGCGCGUAGGCGGCUAGAUGUGUCAAAGGUGAAAUCCCUCGGCUCAACUGAGGAACUGCCUUUGAAACUGUCUGGCUUGAGGCCGGGAGAGGGUAGCGGAAUUCCCAGUGUAGCGGUGAAAUGCGUAGAUAUUGGGAGGAACACCAGUGGCGAAGGCGGCUACCUGGACCGGUUCUGACGCUGAGGCGCGAAAGCGUGGGGAGCGAACAGG
rnacentral:rRNA from 1 species